CGCUUGCGGCAUCGUACCUCCACUUCACAUGAACAUGUUGCGCAUCAGUUGAUCUAAAGACACACUUCUACAACUGGUAAUGUCCAUUACCAACUCAUAAUGUUGUCUCCUGGAUGUUUUUCUUUGAUAUCAGAAUCUGGCAAUACCGUAAUGUCAAAUCGCUCUUAGUGAACUCCAAAGCUACUUGCUGUAGGUUCCAACAACUCAACGAACUAUAUGGUGCUAACCGAUAUGGUUCCUUUGACUAGACAAUGUUCUGUAUUUCCGCUCUAUGGUGUAUGCACUAUUUCAGUUCCAUGGGUCCUUAAAAAAAUGCUCAAAAGCGUUUGCAUACCCGGCUACUGCAGUAAUGGUAUCCAAUACUUAGAGCUUUCACUUCCAAAUACAAA
rnacentral:lncRNA from 1 species